rnacentral:lncRNA from 1 species
GAUUCAGAAUGGUCCGAUGGCUGAGCAAAUGGCACUGUUUUCAUCUAUCUUGACAGUAAAUUGUGAGACCAGUUUGAACCAUGUUCACAGCAGACAGAUAGCAUGAUGAUUGUAAUAAUGUGCAUAAUAAAAGUUCUGCAGUUAGCUGAAAAACAUCAUUGAAAUUGGAAAAGUGUCUUCUGUGCUUGAGAUUUGGAAAAAGACCUAGGAAACCUAGAUGAAAAAGUUAACUCUAUUUAAUUGAGUUCUUUAGUUAAACAUAUUUUCACCAGAACUGUGCAGGUAAAACAUGAAGGUCCAGCUUCAUGUGCCUGACUGUAGUAUAUGUGCUGCCGAAACGAGCACAUGCCUGCCUUUAACUUAGCGAUCUGAAGAAAUGUCAAAUGCAGCAAUGACCUACUCAAGUUCCUCCAUAAAGCAUGAGCAACCGUCUUUUAUGGUAUGACCUCAUGGAUCUGAAUGCUUUUUAUAAUGAAGUGAUAAAGAUAAUUUAUACUUAUGCAGCAUUUAUUAUACAGCAAGAAUGGUGCAAAAGACUUUAUAUAUGCUUCCUCAUUUAAUUCUCACACCAACCUUAUAGGUAAGGUCGAUACUUAAGUACCUGUGUAAGAAAACUCAAGUAGCAUCUCAAUGCUUUACCAUUAGGCCAUGGUAGAAACAAGAUUGGCAUUCAGUGUAUGAAUUUGAUACUCUUGGUUUCAUUUACCAGUUCUACUGUUUGAUGACUGUAUCACUAGUGGCUAUUUGAAAAGCAAUGAAUUCAGUGUAAAACAUUAGGAAUUUUAUCAGGAGGGCUGAAAGCUCAGAGGAGAAAGAAAGGAGCUCUCCUAGAAUGGUUUUGAUACAGAAUUCUGUCUGGACUUCCUUCUUAAAGCACUUCUGAAAUGUGUCAGCACUUGAAAUAUGGACAGAGGCAAGAGAUUCCUCCUGGAUUAGAUGUGAAGGUGGGAUAGCUAUGAUUUGUAAUUUCAGUUCCUGGAUCUCUCCAUAUACCUGGGUGGGG